rnacentral:rRNA from 1 species
UACGUAGGCGGGAAAUUAAGUCAGUAGUGAAAUCCCACAGCUUAACUGUGGAACUGUUAUUGAUACUGGUUUUCUUGAAUAUAGUUGAGGUAGGCGGAAUGUGUAAUGUAGCGGUGAAAUGCUUAGAUAUUACACAGAACACCGAUUGCGAAGGCAGCUUACUAAGCUAUGAUUGACGCUGAGGUACGAAAGCGUGGGUAGCGAACAGGAUUAGAUACCCUGGUAGUCC